UUAUUAUGUAGCCCACCUAGUCUCUGACGUAGCUAAUGCACAUCUCUAAUGACCUCAUUGACCUUGCUGGCUCAAGCACAUCAGAGCCGGUGACACAUUAAUCACAGCUGCACGGCAAUCAUUGACCGAGGGAUCAUUAAAAGCUCCAGCCCUGGCUCCUUCAAUCAUUAAAUACCUCAUUUCCAUCAGGUACCUCGCAAUAGACAGCAGAUGUGCAAAGCACUUUGUGCUGACGUCCCUCUACCAUACUUCCUUACAGUCUCCUGGAUCUCAUAUCUGCUCUCACAUAAUAGGUUACUGUACAUCACGAGCUCAUAGUUGUGAGAGAAUCCAACAGCAUGUCUAACCUAACCGAAUGCAACAGGCUUUUUAAAUCUGCACAUUGGUAAAUUUCUCGAUGUCUGUGACUUUUGGACCCCACGUCUUGAGGUUGGAGACCCUCUGUGAUGAUGAACCUGAUCUGAAAGUACCUCUCAUCACCAGCCCUCCCAAGACGACGCCAGCCAUUCAUCUCCCCCCUUCAGGAUUCACAGCCCCCGACCUGAUGACCCUGACCACACAGUAUCCUCUUGCACUAUUUAUAUGCACUUUUCAUAAAUAAACUAACCACUGAAGCACCAUAAGCACAUGGGCUCAGUGUUUGCCCUCAAAGUAA